rnacentral:misc_RNA from 1 species
AAAUGCGAUAAGUAAUGUGAAUUGCAGAAUUCAGUGAAUCAUCGAAUCUUUGAACGCACAUUGCGCCCGCCAGUAUUCUGGCGGGCAUGCAUGUUCGAGCGUCAUUUCAACCCUCAAGCCCCCGGGUUUGGUGUUGGGGAUCGGGCUGCGGUUCUACCGCGUCCCGGCCCCGAAAUCUAGUGGCGGUCUCGCUGCAGCCUCCAUUGCGUAGUAGCUAACACCUCGCAACUGGAACGCGGCGCGGCCAAGCCGUUAAACCCCCAACUUCUGAAUGUUGACCUCGGAUCAGGUAGGAAUACCCGCUGAACUUAAGC